ensembl:lincRNA
AUGCUUUCUCUAUGUUUACCUCUUUUCCGAGGCUCUAACACUAAGAAAACCCAGAGGGAGAGACUUUUUCGACGCUGCUCCAGGAGUUGCUUGUGCCUUCGCCCUCGAAGACUCUGGCCAUUUAGCAGGAAGAACCCAAAGAGCUUCACCCAGGAGGACACCGAGGAGAUGGACGACAGAGUCGAGGACACCACCCCUCUGAUCAGGGUGCAGGUGCAUCAUGACGCCCACAAAAGCCACAGCAGCCUAGAGGUGAGAGAGGGAGGGCCCAAGACCCCACCAUGGAAGAUCCCCGGGGCUCCCUCUCUGGGCUUCCCCAGAGGGGCUCAGUUCCCACUUACAGAGGAAUCUGGGACUCUACCCCAGUCCCUUCCCACUUCCAAUCACCAGCCUCGGUCACAUUUCCUCUAUUGGCAGGAAUGUCAGCUGCUGAUGGCCCACGAGAAUGCCAAGGUGUCUGCAAUGGAACUGCAGCAGGAGGCCUCUCCUCUUAGCAUCCAGCGUGAGGAUCUGGAGACAACUGAGGCCAAGGCAGAGGCUAAGGAGGACCAGGGGUCAGCUCCAGCCACAGCAGUAUUGCCAGCUCUAUCUCCAGCUCCAGCACCAGCUCCAGUGCCAGAGAGAGCAACUCCUGAUCAUCUCGAGCCCCCUCCCGCUCCAGCUCUUGAGUCAACUCUGGAGCUGCAGCCAACUUCAUCGCCAGCUGGAGCAACAACUAAAUUGGCAUCACAUCAGUCACCACCUGCAGUUUUGGAGGCAGCCCUAGAGCUGGACAAAGUGUCAACACCAGGCCCCAAUACAGAGCUGGAUGUAACACGAGCCCUGGCUCCAGAGUCACCUUCCCAGGUUGACCGAGAUGAUGAGCUUGAGCCAGUGCAGGCACCAGAUCCUGCUCCAACUUCUCAGCUCCAGACUUGCCUGGAGGAAGAAAUGGAGCCUUCCUUCCCCUCUCCUGUGAGAGCAUCCUUAUUCCUGUCUUCUGUCUUUUUUUUCGUAUUUUACAUUUUAUAUGAUUUGGUUUAUUUUUCUUGUUAACUUACCUUUAAAUUAAAUUUAUUGUUACUGUUUUUAAAUGUCCACGUCAGUGUCUUUAGGUACAUUACAGUGCCGUACAAUCAUCUUUGGUAACAUCUCCAGAACAUUUCUUCACCCCAAACAGGAAGCCGUCAUCUAUGUGGCAGUCCCUCUCCAUUCCCCUCUGUCACCCUGGGAACCACUCUUCUGCUUCUGUCUCCUCUUGUUGCUGUGGCCCAGCUCAGGCCUGAGCAUGUGCACGAUCUUAGCACCUAGCAGGAAGUCAUUAUCCUCAUUUCACAGCUGGGACUCAAGAGGCCUAAGAGACCUUGCUCAAAUUCCUCUGUCCAGGAAGUCAGGGAACAGGGACAGGAACUCAGGACCAGAAUUCUCAGCAGGCCCAUGUGUCUGCAGCCCCUCCACUCACUUGUGCCUGGGACCCUCCUCUCUACCACCCCAGUUCCAGAGCUCAACACCACACCACCUAAUCCAGUUUAGGCAGAGGUGGUCCAGGAGGAGAUUGUGGCCUUGGAGACACCCAUUAAUUUCCUAGGCUGCUCAGACAAAUACCAUGCAAUGAGUAGGCUUAACAAAGGGAAU